CACUAAUAAAAAAAACCCUGAUUAAUCCACCUAGUGGUGAUAGCGCCUUUCUCGUCGAAUAUGUACUCAUGAUGUCGACGUAAGCCGAAGUGUUCCUGAAUCCUGAGAAUACUUUAUUGAGAAAAGCAAGAAUUUUAUCAAAGCCAUUAUCGAAUAGAAAAACUUAUUGAUGACGCAUAUUCCGACGUUAUGUUCAACGUAUAGGCAGAGCUUAAAAAUAUCAGAGCUCUCAGUUGACUGCUUGACCUCCUUCACUGUCAUUGGAGGCCAAUCAAUAUGAAGACGAUGAUUACAAGCUAAGAUAUAACCUUUUUCACAGCCACAGAUCACUUUGGGGUCGUCGACAAAGUUUUUUCUGUACACUUCAGGCUAUAUUUAAUUAUCGCUGAUUACAAGAUCCAUGUAAAAUUGAACAAAAAAAUGCAAGCAAGUGAAAUUUCCCAGACUAAAUCCCAAUAAAAUUUCAACCACAUUACAGAGCGCGAGGGCGCAACCAGACGCAUCAGAAUUUUGUGUAGUAACUUUAGACGCAAAAGGGGAUUGAAAAAAAAAUGUUCAGGGUUGUUGCGAUUAAAUUUUAAUUUUCCCAUACAACGUUGACUGUAAGGAUGAGUAGGAAUCUGAAAUGGUGUGAUUUGAUGAGUUCUGAGAUCACUUUAGUUUUGUCAUGAUGAAGAGAACAAUUACACAUA